rnacentral:rRNA from 1 species
UACGUAGGUGGCAAGCGUUGUCCGGAUUUACUGGGCGUAAAGGAUGCGUAGGCGGACAUUUAAGUCAGAUGUGAAAUACCCGAGCUUAACUUGGGUGCUGCAUUUGAAACUGGGUGUCUAGAGUGCAGGAGAGGUAAGUGGAAUUCCUAGUGUAGCGGUGAAAUGCGUAGAGAUUAGGAAGAACACCAGUGGCGAAGGCGACUUACUGGACUGUAACUGACGCUGAGGAGCGAAAGCGUGGGUAGCAAACAGG